rnacentral:rRNA from 1 species
UACGGAGGGAGCUAGCGUUGUUCGGAAUUACUGGGCGUAAAGCGCGCGUAGGCGGUCCAUCAAGUCAGAGGUGAAAGCCCGGGGCUCAACCCCGGAACUGCCUUUGAAACUGGCGGACUAGAAUCUUGGAGAGGCGAGUGGAAUUCCGAGUGUAGAGGUGAAAUUCGUAGAUAUUCGGAAGAACACCAGUGGCGAAGGCGACUCGCUGGACAAGUAUUGACGAUGAGGUGCGAAAGCGUGGGGAGCAAACAGG